ensembl:lncRNA
AUGAAAUGAAGACCAAUUGUACAUGAGCAGGAAACUGCCUAGGAAUAGUCUACAGCACGUUACCCAAGAGUAAAGCGUUAUUUUAAGUAGAGAUGCAAUCCAGCAGCAAUGUGCCUUACAUAGAACAACUGGCAGGAACCUCCCUAAGCUGCGAACCCUGAAGAAAGCUUGAAUAGACGUGACCGUUUUUUCCCCACAGAGUGCCUUGUUCAUUAAGGCAUCGGCAGAAGAGUCUGUAUCCUUUACGCAAUUACUCAGCAAGUGCUUUUAAAGACGCUGUAAUAGACUCAGGAAAGUCAUCUUCUCUCAGCAGAGGAAAUUCAAGACUGUUCUCUUGACCACCAGGCUGGUCUAGAACUAGAGACACUCACUCCUGCUGUGUUGGCCACUGAGUUUGGCCACUUCAGUAAAAGAUCAGUUUUUGACUGAAGAAGAAAUGAAUUACGAACUGGACAAAGAAAAAGAGGAACAAAAAUAUCAUUAUCAGCAUCAAAUACCCUAAGGCUGAUUUGUUAAAGCACUGCCACCUUCAUUCAUUUCAAAAGCGCACGAACAAAAGGUAACAGCUACGCAUGACAAGUGGAUGAAUUUACACAGACAUCAACGCUGCACAGAAGAACUACAGGAGAGGUAUUUGCGGCUGCAGUUCAGAACAACCCAGUACUCAGCAUCAUUGUAACUAACAGUGGUAAAAGCCACUCCAGGCUCUUUCAUAAGAGUCCACAUUCUUACAGCAAUGCUUCAGAGGUAACUCAAAUUUAAGAGCUUCUGAUCCUUGCACCAUGCUUCCAGACAAUAACAUGAGAAAAGCAGAGCGACUGCUAUCGUGGUCACAAUAACACGUUUUCACCUCUGUGGUGGGAAUACAAGUAUUUUGUAAUUCACUACUUCUUGUUCUAAGCCACAAAGGAGAGGAGUACUAAGCAGUAAGCUAAGAGACUAAGUAGAAAAGCAUGGGAUUAAAAUUAAGGCAAUCAGUAUGCAAGUACAGUAUUUCUGCAAAAUUAAUAAGCUUCCCAUGAUAUUUUCACCUUUGGACAAUUAUCGUUAAGCUGCAGAAAGCAGCUUCACUCAUGAGAUGUUUGAAAACAUCUUGAAAACUUGUUUUCAGUAUUCAGCUAGAGUAAACCUCAGUUUUGUACACCAGCUUUCACAAAGAUUAAGCAUACAUAAUAUUUGUCAUCUGGAUGUGCAAAGAAAUGCAUUUAUGAAAUCGUAGUGAUUAUUCACUAAGACUCUGAAACUCUAAAUAAAUGCCUUUUAAUGACCUUAAAAUGCAAACAGCAGCCUGAAGAAAGGAAUUUGUCUUUCUUAAAAUAAUGUUUUCACAUCCCAGAUGUAUGAGAAUCACUCAUUUUACUGAAGUAUAUAAUCACUGUCUAAAAAGAUGUAGAGAGGCUAUACCCUUGUAUACCUCUCAACAGGUUCCCAGUUAACUUCCAUCCUUCACAACUCAUUACCCAUUCAAUUUUUUACCAGCCUGGCAUAUCACAGCUCAAAAUCACAAGGAUUAAAUCUCCUGAACCUCUUCUUCUUAGGAGGGUACUCCUAAUGCACUACAGUUUAGUGCUCCCUAAAGCUAGGUAAGACCUCAAGACAUUUCAGCCAAGAAAGGAAGAAAAAGUCAUCUCUAAUCUCAUUUGCUUCCCUUUUUCUCUUAUUAACACCACUUCAUUAAGGACCUGCUAGGAAGAUAUUGAAAGGAAGGCAAGAUUCUCAAGACUAAGGCAGCUCCACCAAAGAUACGAGUAUCCUUCCGAACAUUUGUCUUUUCAGCACGAAUAUAUUGGCAAGGAUCAAUUCAGCUACUUCACUGAAUCAAAUGUAACGCAACACUACAAGUCUACCAUUCCCUUAACAGAGAAGAAAAUCUGUCAGUUUCAGCAUAUUUUUUCCACAGUUAAAUUAAUCACGUAGGCAUUUUGAACAAAACAGUAUUUUAUCAUAACAGUCAAUAGAAAGACUGAAAAGAAAUCCAGCAACCUGAAAAAGAAACUCAACUUUUUUCAUUACUGAUUAAAACAACUUCAUUUCGGAAGAGCUGUCUCCACACCACCUGAAUGUUCCAAAAGAGCAAAACUCCACAACACAACACAAGACAACGCAACGCAACACUUUCAUGAAUUCUAUUUGGUAAAAGGUAACGCUUUUCACAGCAUGCAGUAACUCACUCAACUUUUAAUAUUGCACUUACCCUCAGCAGGCAGUUUCACAAUUCGUAUUGAAGAGAUUUAACUGCAGCAAUGAUAUCAGACAACUGUUUCAGCCAGAAUUACUUUAUCAACACUUGACUUACAUCCUUUGCACUACUAACACUCUAACAACUGCAGGGGAACAGGUCAUGGCUUGCACUGGUGAUUGAGCACCUGGUGAAGGGGUGUGGCUGGCCCAGGGAGCACAGGCAGACUGUUUGCACCUGUGCUCCCCAGCGCACCAGAAGGGGUGGACACAGGUGGAGCCCCCUGAGCUCAUAUAAGGGCCAGCCAUUGAAGGGAGAGCAUGGCUUGGAUCUGGGCUGCUUCUGAGGAGGGGUACUGCACAGCCAUAAUCUGCUUCACCAGCUGGGUGAGUGCUAUUCUUCUUUCUGAGCAGGACUAUUGGUCUACCUACAAAUGCUUUGGUAUCACCAAAAACCUGACAAAAAAGAUUUUUUUUUUCUUUGUGAGUAGAAUAACAGCUUAGCCUUUGUAAUUAAGUUUUACAUGCAGACAAUGCAAAUUUACCAGUUACCACAGCGUUAAAAUAGUAAACAAGUCUUUAGGAUGCUUUUGAAAAAGUUUUUGUGAUGAAAAAUGGUCUUGGAAAUUAAAGAAAAAACACUUGCAGUAGAACUAUCAACAGGCUUGCAGGACUUUGUGGAAGAAUCUGUGAUUUUCACAAAUUACUGAUACAUGACAGUAUGAUAUGACAUGUACCGUUGGGAAGCAACAAGCUCUAUUAGGAGUUUUUUGUUAAGGAACAAAUUAUUAAAACUGUUUCCUUCCACAAGAAAAGCCACUAAGGCAACAACAAAAAAUUACCAAAAGUAACUGUAAUACAUACCAACUCAGCACAGAGUAGCUGCAGCUUUGUUUAAGCCAGCUAACAAGGGUAAAAAAAGAUAUGACAAUACUACAGGUCCUAUGAAUGCAGCACAGGGGUAAGUCUCUGGGGAGUGGGGAAGACCAGAGAAAACAACCCCAGCAAUGGCAGCAGGAAAGAACCCCCUGCUGCCAUCACUGCCCUCAACUCUCACAUGCUCAUGAACAACCAUUUCUGUCGCUCCCUGUGCAAUAGCUCCUAAGGCUUCAUAAUGGGGAAAAUAUCAGAGAGGAUGAAGGAUAGAGGAGGCUGGAAGGAGAUACGUGGUAUCUGUUUUAUUUAGCAUAUUUUUCCACUUGAUACACAUGUGAGAGAAAUGAUAAGGUUCUCUAAUUUUCAAUAGCCUUUUCUAGAUGUAAGUACAACACUGACACAGACUGACCAGAGCUGGACAAUGUUGUCACCCUUCUUGCUUUUGUUACUUUUGAAUCCUUGUCUGCUAGAAAUUAGCUACUAAGCUGUAAUAAACUGCAGGAAACAGAAUGGGGACUUGGGUCUGUGCUAACACAACUUUAAGCAAAACAGCUCUCCAAUGUCUUUGUAUCUACAACCAUGACAGAACACUGACACCAUGCAACAGUACCAGAACAUUUCAGAAGAGGUCAGAUAUAAUAGUUAGAACAAUACAUGAUUACCUUAAUAAUCCAACAUCAGAGUGUAACUGUCAUCUGACAGGAAAAGUCCUUCAAUUUACCACUUGCCCUACUCAAAAUCAGUAUAUUUUUAGCAGCAAUGACUUCAGUUCUUCAAUACUUGGUAACAUUUACUUAAGUAAAUAUAAUGGUUUUCCUACUGUGUAUAAUAAUCCCCUCACCAGACUCACAAUAACAUUUUCAUAUUAAAACUUUCAACUUACACUCUGAUGUCUGCAAGAGAAAGACCAGAAUCAAUGGAGGUUCAAUCAUCUUUCUGACUACAGUAUCUUACAUGCAUAAGAUGAAACUAGAAAUACAGUGACACACAAAAAUCUCUUUCUGUGACUAAAAAAAUUUCACCCCUAUUUUCACAGUAGCUCUGGAAUUCCUAGCCUUCCCCUCACGCCUCUUCUUUCCCUCCCUGGUAUUUAAAACUAGGUACUUACUACUUCUUCCUGCUACGUGCCUUUUGAAAAUAAGACGCCAUUUUGAAUGAAUACUGUUUUUAGGUGAUUACAUUGCUCUCAGAGGACCAAGAAGAAACACUAAUCCUUUGCUAAUCUGAAUAGCUACUGUAACAGGUAGUUACAGCACAACUUUAUCCAGUAGCACUCUAACCUUGUAGACAUUCCUAAAGAUGGAAAGCAUUCUAAGUGUGUACUCAUUACCUGUGACAGCCAAUUAUGAUAGAGAAAUAGUUUGAAUCUUUAGGAGGAUUUACUUAAUAAUACGACGCUACUUUAAGUUAAGUUUCCUGAAAAUUAACACAAGUUAGUUAUACUCCAUGUAGAAAUACAGUAAAUUUGACUACUCAUCGCUCUGCUGUUGUUUCUACACCAUCUUAAAUCUUUGUCAGUAAUAAAGACAUAUUGAUAACCUUUUUCAUAAAACUGACCUGCUUCAGCUGUAAAUCAGCAUAUGUCAUCUUCCAGCUAUUGCACAGAAUGGUGUAAAGUCCCAUAAUGCCAGCAUCCGUAAGUCUUUAUUCUUAGGGCUAAAAUACAAGUGGAACAUCUCUCGCUCUGCUAUGUCUCUGUAACAAGUUCUAGAUAUUACCAGCAGGAUCCUCAGUAUGAGCAGAUGUUAAAAAGAAGCUGUGAGGAACACUGUGUCAAUUCUUAUCUACUUAAAAGUUCAGUAAUAAAACUACUAGUGAACAUACCAGAACAGACUACUUGAUUAUUUCUACAAUCUUUUGCUUCAUUUAUUGAGUGAGAUAUUUCCACUUUUCUACUGCUUAGAUGGUGAUCUAGUUUAUUUCAUGCCUGGGACUUAUCUUCAGCACUAUUCCUCAUACUAUUUGCCUGAGUUAGAUUUAACUCUGUCCCAGUUUGACAGUUUCUUUUCUCCUUCAGUGGCUGAAAGACAUUUUAAGAAGUAAUAGAAAUGUUAGUGGCCACAGAGAUAAGACUAAUAGAGCAUGAAGAUGUUCAAUAAAGAGCACAAAGAAAUCACAUCUUUUCAGGGGAUGGGGAGUGGAAGGGGAAGAAACCCCUUUAUUAAAAAAUCCAGACACUGAAGGAGAGGCAAAGGAGCGUAUGUUCAUAAUUCCACAAAUAUAAAUAAAUAAAAAUGACUGAAGAAGCAACAGACUGGCUUUACAGCUGAAAUAAUGUCAGUGGCUUGAGGAACUGGAGAAAUAAGGCGUUCACAGAUACUGAUAAUCAAGACAUCAUGAGACUCACUCUUGAAAAAACAAAGCAUCUUAAAAUCAACUGUAUGAACCAUUACCUAUAAAAGUUAGCUGAGCUGUCUCAUGCAUUCCUGUAAAUCAACAGGUGUUCCCUGUACCGUGGUUUGCCUUACUAAAAAAAAUAGCAGGAUGUUGUAAUACACAGGAAGUUUGAAACAAUUUACAUCAACUCAUUACUCCACGGGAGAAUAAUAUUUUGAAUUAAAAACUGAGAGCAAUGGCGUCAAGACAUGAAAAGAGAGCAGACUCGAAAUUACAAAAAUCUGUCAGUUCCUUUUCCACAUUAUUUUUAAUAAUCUUUUGAGAGAUUCACAUCUGGUAAGCUUUGCUUUUUUGUUGUUUUUUUGUUUUGUUUUGUUUUUGAAUCACUGUUCAUGUCUUUCUCUGAUGCUGAGUCAGAGAAACACCGGCAGAAGGACCCUUCAUUGCAAGUCAUAUGAAUUCCUUAAAAUGGCUUGGCUUUUUGAUUACCUGAAGAUGAAAUUUCUUAAGUAGUAUCAAGUAAAUUCCUUAGUAUCACUUACCUCUUUGUUCUAUUAGAGCAAAAAUCCUCCCUGAAGUACAUUAAUUUGAGUAUCACCCACUGAGAUGAAAAUCAUAUGUCAACUUAGGCGCAAUACACCAGUUCUGUAUUCUGCUAUCCUCCACACACACCCAAGGGCAUAAGCUUAUAUUCUUGUUUCAGAACUUAUAUUGUUUCCAAGGAUGGUUUAGCUAGUGAUUUUUCUGUUCCUCUGUUUUUAUAAGAAAUUUCUUAGCAGAGAAAAGCUGAUUAAACAGGUAGCAAAGUAUAAAGGUUUGCUGGUUUGGAUGUAUUAUAUGUUAUCAAUAAAUAUGUAAAUUCAUUUUUCGGCUCAAUGGAGUUUUAUAAGUUAUUGCGUUCCCGACCAGAGGACCAGGAGGAACAGAUGAGAAGAGCACAGAGCUAUGUGUGGGUAUGAUUCCUCAGUCCCACAGACAGUGGUUCCAUUCCUCCACCAUAUGAAUGGCAACCCAGCUGUAGUAGCUGUGUGAGAUACUGCUCCACACUGAGUGCACCUUUACCCCUGCAGAGGAGGAGACACUGCACGUACUGACAGGUUUUUUCCCUUCUCAAUACCUAUAGGCAGGUUAAAAAUAAAUAAAUAAAUCGGCCACAAUACCAAUAAAAAUGAUAAAAUAAAAUGGUAUGACAGCAUCCAAACACUUACGUGGCUAUUUUCUGCCACACAAGACAACAUCCAAAACAAAUGGUCC